rnacentral:rRNA from 1 species
CCAAUAGCGUAUAUUAAAGUUGUUGCAGUUAAAAAGCUCGUAGUUGAAUUUCGGGGCCAGUAGGUCGGUCGUGCCACUGGUAUGAACUGGUCUCACUGGUCCCUCCCUCUUGAAGAACCGUGAUGCCAUUAAUUUGGUGUUGCGGGGAAACAGGACUGUUACUUUGAAAAAAUUAGAGUGCUUAAAGCAGGCUUACGCUUGAAUACAUUAGCAUGGAAUAGCGACAUAGGACGAUCGAUUCUAUUUUGUUGGUUUCUAGGAUCGACGUAAUGAUUAAUAGGGAUAGUUGGGGGCAUUAGUAUUCAAUUGUCAGAGGUGAAAUUCUUGGAUUUAUUGAAGACUAACUACUGCGAAAGCAUUUGCCAAGGAUGUUUUCAUUAAUCAAGAACGAAAGUUAGGGGAUCGAAGACGAUCAGAUACCGUCGUAGUCUUAACCAUAAACUAUGCCGACUAGGGAUCGGAUGAAGUUAAUUUUUUAAUGACUCAUUCGGCGCCUUACG